rnacentral:rRNA from 1 species
GAUGAACGCUAGCUACAGGCUUAACACAUGCAAGUCGAGGGGUAACAAGAGGAAAGCUUGCUUUCCUUGUUGACGACCGGCGCACGGGUGAGUAACGCGUAUCCAACCUGCCUAUAACUAGGGAAUAACCUUGCGAAAGUAAGACUAAUACCCAAUGAUUUCCUUUGAUGACAUCAGAUUAGGAAUAAAGAUUUAUCGGUUAUAGAUGGGGAUGCGUCUGAUUAGCUUGUUGGCGGGGUAACGGCCCACCAAGGCAACGAUCAGUAGGGGUUCUGGAAGGAAGGUCCCCCACAUUGGAACUGAGACACGGUCCAAACUCCUACGGGAGGCAGCAGUGAGGAAUAUUGGUCAAUGGGCGGAAGCCUGAACCAGCCAAGUAGCGUGCAGGAUGACGGCCCUAUGGGUUGUAAACUGCUUUUAUACAGGAAUAAAGUUAGCCACGUGUGGUUAUUUGUAGGUACUGUAUGAAUAAGGACCGGCUAAUUCCGUGCCAGCCGCCGCCGUAA